CGCUAACAUCGGCGUUGGCGGUAGAGUCGCAUGGUCUCUUGAAUCACCAUAUUCAGCUGAUGACGCAAAUUAAUGUUACUUUAAUUUGCUCGUUAAUAUGUGGAUCCGGCGGCCAUGGCAGACGUCGUUAACCUCGUCUCUGAUUCGGGUCUGCCAAUCCGGAUUGGAAGCCAGAAGCAUUACACACCAGGAGGCGGCGGCAGCGGACGUCUCGAAUCCGGCUAAAUAGAUGUUUCGGCAGUUGUCAACGAUGAACUGGUGGAUUGAAUCGGAAUUGGAAUCUGAAUCCGAUGAAGAAUGGCUGCUGCUGCUGCUCUGUGCGCUUUCUAGAAGAAUCUGGAGCAAGUCCUUCUCAGAUCCAGCCAGUUGCCUCUCCUUCACCACUUUCAGGAUGAGUCCCUCGAUUUCCUUCUCCAAUGCCCUAAUCCUCAGGUUGUUCCUUGUCGGGAGAUAUCUGCCGAUCAAAGCAAUCGAAAUAUAUAUGUAUCUCUGAUGUAUUAAUUCUGUGCGAUAAUUGAAUUGUUAAUUACCUUAGUCCUGGAACGCCGAGUGAUUUCAUCCUGCUGGAUAUCAGCUCCUGGAGAUGCCCAAAUUUUGAGAAAAUAUGUCGCGCUUUGGAAUGGCUGCUGCCAAAACAGGCCCUGGAAAUUAUGUCCCCGGAGAAUAUCUUCAUGUACUCAUCCACAGUGAUUUCCAUGGCUCCAUUGUCGAUUUCAUGGUUCCAGGAGUUCACCAGAUUUAGAGCUGAGUCGGCGAUUAUGUCCAUCAUUCCCUGUGCCAUUAGGUGUUCGAUGAAAUGCCUGAGAGAAGAUUAGAUCCCAAGGAGCUAUGAUCUUCCUCUGGUACGCCCAAAUCGAGCCAUUCGACGUCAAGAUCCCGUCCCCAAGCAACGGGCCGAAUUCCUCCCGCUGAUGAGCCGGCUUCCCCAAGUUGGGCGACGUGCACGUCGAUAUUGCCUUCACUAAAUCAGGCUUCGACACAUACAGUAUCUGCAUCGUGCCCAGAGAAAACAGGUACAAUGAACCUGCAAUUCAAUUCAAUUCAACAAAUGAGUUGAAAGAAGCUCCAUUUAAUUUGUACUUUGAAUGCAUGCAUACCAUAUUGCUUUCUCCAUUGCUCGAGAAAGGAUAAAAUAGAGGCGGUGUCGUGGAUGACCGGAGGCUGCGG